UACGAAGGGGGCUAGCGUUGUUCGGAAUCACUGGGCGUAAAGCGCACGUAGGCGGAUGUGCCAGUCAGGGGUGAAAUCCCGGAGCUCAACUUCGGAACUGCCUCUGAUACAGCACGUCUUGAGUCCGGAAGAGGUGGGUGGAAUUCCUAGUGUAGAGGUGAAAUUCGUAGAUAUUAGGAAGAACACCGGUGGCGAAGGCGGCCCACUGGUCCGGUACUGGACGCUGAGGUGCGAAAGCGUGGGAGCA
rnacentral:rRNA from 1 species